AAAUGUUCUCAGCUUUUGGCUCAAAUCAAGAGUAGCAUGUGUUCUUAUCAGUUUAAUAUCUGAUGUGUCCUCUGACAACAAUAUAGUCAACGGAUUUUGGCUGGUUUGUUGGUUGGUUUGUUUUGAAACAAAGAUUCUUCUCCUUCUACUCCAUCCAUCCACCUGGAACUAUAGUGCCUCAGAGAAUGAUUCACGUCAU